UGCAUGUCGGGUUCAAAACAAUUUUUGUUGAAACUGCGAAGCGCUCAGUAAAUCAGUUAUAGUCUGUUCGAGCGAAAAACAGACGCCGAGGAUAACUGUGGUAAAUCUAGAGCUAAUACAUAGGAGGCCCUUUGCGGGGCUAGUUAUUGGCAGACCAAAAGUAGACCGCCUUCGGGCGGGCUAAGGUGAAUCUGAAUAACUUGAACGACCCCUAGCCGGGCUGGGGGCGGGUCGAGCGAAUUUCUGCCCUAUCAGCUAGUUGGUAGGGUAGCGGCCUACCAAGGCGUUAACGGGUAACGGGGAGUCAGGGUUCGACUCCGGAGAGGGAGCCUGAGAAACGGCUACCACAUCCAAGGACGGCAGCAGGCGCGCAAAUUACCCAAUCCAGAAAUUGGGAGGUAGUGACCAGAAAUACUGGGGUGGCUCCUAGCGAGCCUCGCCCGGAAUGGACGUAGCCCAAAAACAUCGCUGAUGAGCUACUGGAGGGCAAGUCUGGUGCCAGCAGCCGCGGUAAUUCCAGCUCCAGUAGUGUAUAUCAACAUUGUUGCGCUUAAAACGCUCCUAGUUGGAAUGGGGGGCGCCGCCGGAGCCUCAAUUUUUAAUUUUGGUUUCUGGUUUUGAGUAGGACUGGGUCCGCUUAGAAUUUGGGUCCUACUUUUGGUGCCCCAAAAUCAUGGGCCCCGGUUUCAGUCUUGGUUGACUGGGCCGGGCGCCGAUGGGGUGUGCCUUGAAUAAACCAUGGUGCUCAAUGCAAGCGGAAAUGCUGGGGUGUGUUAGCAUGGAACGAAUUUUUUGACUGUAGCCGCGGUUCCUGCUCUAUUAUCGAGAAAAGUGAGAUAAUUGGGAUGGGGCCGGGCUGGUUAGCUUUGGUGAACCAGGUCUCAGUGGUUAAGAGGGACGCCUGGGGGCACUGGUACUCUGUGGCGAGAGGUGAAAUUCUUAGACCCGCAGAAGACCGGCUGUGGCGAAAGCAUUUGCCAAGAGUGUUUUCAUUAAUCAAGAACGAAGGUCAGAGGAUCGAAGACGAUCAGAUACCGUCCUAGUUUUGACAGCAAACAUUGCCGGCCUAGCUGCGGGGCUGCUACUCAGAGUGGAGUAGAGCGGCCUCGCCGGCUUGAGGGAAACCUAGCUUUCGGGCUGCGGGGAGAAUAUCGCUGCAAGGCUGAAAUUUAAAGAAAUUGACGGAGAGGCACCACCAGGAGUGGAGCCUGCGGCUCAAUUUGACUCAACACAGGGAAAAUACCGGGUCCAGACAUUGGUAGGAUUGACAGAGUGGUGGAUCUUUCAUGAUUCAUGA
rnacentral:rRNA from 1 species